CUGCUCAUCUUCCCAGCCGCCAACCCUAAGCCACGAGCGCCGACAGCAAGAGGCCGACAGGCACGGCGCGGGCGUGCGGCGCCGUGUCCCGGCCGCUCGGUGUCCAGGCGGCCAGCGCCCAACGCCACCACCCACCAGCACGGCAGGCGGACGGCCGGCAGCAAGCCAGCAAGCAAGGUCCUGGACUACGCACACCAAUUGAGCAAACGCAUCCAAGUAUUAGGGAUGCAGCCAAAAGAGCAUAUGUUUUUGGCACUUGUUAGUGCUUUAAGGCCUUAGA